rnacentral:lncRNA from 1 species
GUCUGUGUACUCUUCCCCCUUACGCUGCACCAUGCACCUAAAAAUCCUCUUCUGGGGAGCAUAGUUUUGCCCAUUUAUGACUUCUAUCUUGAGUCAAGCAGGCUGAAUUGGUACAUGAAGAGCUGCUAACACCAAAGGCCUCAAACUGAAAGCCACCAGCAGCCAACUGAUGAUUUCUGUUUGAAUUGAGCAGGAACCCUCAGCUGCUUGGUGCCAUCCGGGAAGCACUUGGGGGAGCCUCCCUCUGGAGGGCCCUGAAGAAGAGGGUGGACAAAGCUGACAGUUGUCAGUGGACUCAAGAACCAGCCCAUGUUUGAUUUCCAUCCCAUGUGGGGGCUGAGAGCGCACAGCAGCCAGUGGCAGUCAGUUCUGGCAGGAAGAUCAGGAGCAGAGAUCAGAAGGAGGCCCCAGGGGUCCUGGCUGGCGGGAGACCACACAGCUUCGACCAAGAGCGGCUGGAGAGAGCCAGCACAUUUCCCUGCACCUGCAUCUAGGCAGCUCCCAGACCACUGGGUCCCACCCCGCUCUUGUCUCUCUCUUCCUUACCUGGCUUUAGGACCAGGCAGACACCUGGGCUGGCUGUGCAGUCAGGGUACAGAUGCUGACAGCUCAGACAAACAGCCCCACACCCCAGAGGCCCAACACAGGGAUUGAACUCAGGACCUUGUGUUUUGGGAGGCAGCAGAACCACUGAGCUACAUCCCCGGCCCACAGUGUCUUUUCUGUUACGGUAACUGAACACUGCAGACUGGCAGACUGAGAACAGAAGUUUAUUUUGAUCAUGGUUCUGGAUCCUGGGAGUCCAAGAGCACA